CAGCUGCGGGGGAGCCGACCUUGAAAUACCACCCUGGCAAGUCUGGUGUUCUAACCCAGGGGAGUGAAUCCUCCUCGGGGACAGCGUAUGGUGGGUAGUUUGACUGGGGCGGUCUCCUCCUAAAGAGUAACGGAGGAGCACGAAGGUACCCUCAGCCUGGUCGGAAAUCAGGCGGUGAGUGCAAGGGCACAAGGGUGCUUGACUGCGAGACCGACGGGUCGAGCAGGUGCGAAAGCAGGUCCUAGUGAUCCGGUGGUUCUUCGUGGAAGGGCCAUCGCUCAACGGAUAAAAGGUACUCCGGGGAUAACAGGCUGAUACCACCCAAGAGUUCAUAUCGACGGUGGUGUUUGGCACCUCGAUGUCGGCUCAUCUCAUCCUGGGGCUGAAGCCGGUCCCAAGGGUAUGGCUGUUCGCCAUUUAAAGAGGUACGCGAGCUGGGUUCAGAACGUCGUGAGACAGUUCGGUCCCUAUCUGCUGUGGGCGUUGGAGACUUGAGGGGAGCUGCUCCUAGUACGAGAGGACCGGAGUGGACGUACCUCUGGUGUUCCGGUUGUCACGCCAGUGGCACUGCCGGGUAGCUAUGUACGGACGGGAUAACCGCUGAAAGCAUCUAAGCGGGAAGCCUCCCCCGAGAUGAGGUCUCCCAGGAUCCUGCGAGAUCCCUGAAGGGCCGUUCGAGACGAGGACGUUGAUAGGCGGGGUGUGGAAGCGCGGCGACGUGUGAAGCUAACCCGUACUAAUUGCCCGUGAGGCUUGACCCU
rnacentral:ncRNA from 1 species